CAUCCUCAAAACCUUCUUGGUUUCUCGACCAGGAAGGCUUUUGGACUUUGGAGGCUUUUGCUGGCCUUCCUUUGUUGAAGCCAGCUCCUCUGAAAUGUAUUAGUGGGGUCUGCUUUGCCGAUCCUUGACGUGAUAAGAUGUUUUCUACGUCUUGGGUUUUGCACUGUUCCCGCUUCUAACCGUCUCAUAGAAGACAAUGGUCAAGUGAUUGCCACUUGACCCCACAAA
rnacentral:misc_RNA from 1 species